UGGCGGCGUGCCUAAUACAUGCAAGUCGAGCGGACAGAUGGGAGCUUGCUCCCUGAUGUUAGCGGCGGACGGGUGAGUAACACGUGGGUAACCUGCCUGUAAGACUGGGAUAACUCCGGGAAACCGGGGCUAAUACCGGAUGGUUGUCUGAACCGCAUGGUUCAGACAUAAAAGGUGGCUUCGGCUACCACUUACAGAUGGACCCGCGGCGCAUUAGCUAGUUGGUGAGGUAACGGCUCACCAAGGCGACGAUGCGUAGCCGACCUGAGAGGGUGAUCGGCCACACUGGGACUGAGACACGGCCCAGACUCCUACGGGAGGCAGCAGUAGGGAAUCUUCCGCAAUGGACGAAAGUCUGACGGAGCAACGCCGCGUGAGUGAUGAAGGUUUUCGGAUCGUAAAGCUCUGUUGUUAGGGAAGAACAAGUGCCGUUCAAAUAGGGCGGCACCUUGACGGUACCUAACCAGAAAGCCACGGCUAACUACGUGCCAGCAGCCGCGGUAAUACGUAGGUGGCAAGCGUUGUCCGGAAUUAUUGGGCGUAAAGGGCUCGCAGGCGGUUUCUUAAGUCUGAUGUGAAAGCCCCCGGCUCAACCGGGGAGGGUCAUUGGAAACUGGGGAACUUGAGUGCAGAAGAGGAGAGUGGAAUUCCACGUGUAGCGGUGAAAUGCGUAGAGAUGUGGAGGAACACCAGUGGCGAAGGCGACUCUCUGGUCUGUAACUGACGCUGAGGAGCGAAAGCGUGGGGAGCGAACAGGAUUAGAUACCCUGGUAGUCCACGCCGUAAACGAUGAGUGCUAAGUGUUAGGGGGUUUCCGCCCCUUAGUGCUGCAGCUAACGCAUUAAGCACUCCGCCUGGGGAGUACGGUCGCAAGACUGAAACUCAAAGGAAUUGACGGGGGCCCGCACAAGCGGUGGAGCAUGUGGUUUAAUUCGAAGCAACGCGAAGAACCUUACCAGGUCUUGACAUCCUCUGACAAUCCUAGAGAUAGGACGUCCCCUUCGGGGGCAGAGUGACAGGUGGUGCAUGGUUGUCGUCAGCUCGUGUCGUGAGAUGUUGGGUUAAGUCCCGCAACGAGCGCAACCCUUGAUCUUAGUUGCCAGCAUUCAGUUGGGCACUCUAAGGUGACUGCCGGUGACAAACCGGAGGAAGGUGGGGAUGACGUCAAAUCAUCAUGCCCCUUAUGACCUGGGCUACACACGUGCUACAAUGGACAGAACAAAGGGCAGCGAAACCGCGAGGUUAAGCCAAUCCCACAAAUCUGUUCUCAGUUCGGAUCGCAGUCUGCAACUCGACUGCG
rnacentral:rRNA from 1 species